UACAGAGGGUGCGAGCGUUGUCCGGAAUCACUGGGCGUAAAGGGCGCGUAGGCGGCCUGAUAAGUAGGGGGUGAAAUCCUGCGGCUUAACCGCAGGGCUGCCUUCUAAACUGUCAGGCUCGAGCACAGUAGAGGCAGGUGGAAUUCCCGGUGUAGCGGUGGAAUGCGUAGAUAUCGGAAGGAACAUCAGUGGCGAAAGCGACUUCCUGGUCCAGCAUCGACGUUCAGGCACGAAAGCGUGGGGAGCAAACAGG
rnacentral:rRNA from 1 species